GUCUCAUCUUACGGACAUGUGGAAUCCAAAAAUUAGGGUCACUAUAGUUUUCACAUUUCGUUGUCCAGAAUGCUUUAUAUCCUUCGCGAUCUACUGAGGCCUCUUCUGAAAGUGACAAUUCACUGCCUAUCCUAUCAGCCAUACCCUUAAUCAUGGAUACCAGACCAUCCAAUGCAACAAUAUGCAUCGCAGACAAAGGUCCAUUCACUGGAAAUGCACUUUUUGAUAACAGGUUAGCAAGGUCUUCAAACACAUUACUGCAGGUUAUGUCACAAUCAAAAUUAGCAUACAUUUCAGCCAUGAAAG
rnacentral:misc_RNA from 1 species